UUCGUAUGCGACGCAGGCCUUCACGCCUUCGAAUUGUCUCGGUCGCACAAAGGGCACGCCGCCUCGCUGAAUCUAGAAAUUAUACGAUAGACGAUCCCGUUGAAAAGUUUCAUCCGAAGAUAUUGUUUCGAUAAAAGUCGCUUUUUUGACGUCUGUUCGUCUCUCAAACGCGGUGCGUGUAGAAAAAAAGCCGCCAUUGUGUUCACAACAAUCCAUUACGAAUCCGGCUGUAAUGCAUUCUGGGCACGUCGCAUCGUUUUCAUGUGAUGGAACAUUGCGGAGAUAAUUAAAUUUAUAAUGAGAUAUUUUAAGUUCGUAAUAAAUUGAUGAAAGCAGAACGAAUUUUGUGAAAACAUAACAUCUGUGACUGCAGCGACCUCCAGCGGGGGAUUUUUUAACUCUCGAGUAGGUUAUGCGCGUAUUUUAUUUUAAUUCGAUAGUUUAUUGCACGUCGCAAGAUUAUAAGCUUCUCGAAUAACACAAUAAUCUGCUCUGAGCGCACCCGAGAAUGUAAAACGAAUCUUAUUUUGUAAGAUCAUUAUUUAUCCGACUUAUUAAUGCACCAUAACUGUCACUUUCAACUUAAACUCGCCUCGGCACCACCAAAAAAGGACAAAAAAAUCGUUAUUUUAAGAAAUUACCAACAACUUAAUUAAGUAUAAGUAAGUAUAACCUCGAAAACUUUAAAUUAAGUUGGUAUAUUUUUUAGAGUAUUUUAAGCAUUUUAGAAUAGUUGCUAGUUUGAAAACGCAACGAAUUACCAUCGAUUAAUCUUGUCUACUUAAGUUAAGUGCGUGCUUUGUGCAGCCGUGAGCCAGCAGCGCAGAUUAAGUUGCACGCGCGCGCGCAUACGCGCUAAGGACGAGUCCGAGAUGCUUGGACAAAUUCAGUAUCGAGUCGGAAUAUUCAUUCCGGCGCAUAGCGAUGAAGUGCCACUGGUGCCACCGUUUAUCGUUCGCCUGCGCCCACGCUGUCAUUACACGAAUAAUGGACGAUCCAUAAAAUCGCCAAUCGUCUUGUGAUUACGGGAAUCGUUUACCACUUUGAGAGUUUCCUUGGCGUUAGAAAAAAUAUUGAAGUGUUAUAGUUAUUAAAAUUUUCACGUUUCACGUCGUGUCGCAUCGUACACGAUCGAAAACAAGCGAAACAUGCAAAUUGACAGCAUGUUGACAGACAAUGGACAAUGAUUCACAAUAAGAUGACGCCAUCUUGUUCAAAACACAAAUAUUUUGUAGCAUUCGGUGUAUUUAGUUAUAUAUUUCACGAUUUUCAACGAUUUUCAACUUUUAGGACAUUUAUAGAAAGUAUUUUAAAUUUUGGUAUGUAAAGUACACAUUUAUUCUAUUAACGAUUAUUAAAUUCAGUGAAUAAAUGUCGUAUUAUGCAUUGACAUCACCCACACGUUCCGGUGAAUCCACAUCACCACGAUAUCACAUUAUAUCAAGUUUUAUAUGUAUUCCUAAAUCGAAUGUGAGUUUAUUUACACAAAAUUAGCAUAUUUAUAAGCUUUUUUCUCUUAUAAUGUCUCAAAAAAGAUGUUCAUGCUUCCAUCACAUAUUUAAUACAAAUUCCAAUCAAACAGUUUUACAUUUUUAUUAAGUUUCAAAUAAAAAUUAAAUAUUUUUAACAAA